rnacentral:rRNA from 1 species
AUUGAACGCUGGCGGCAGGCCUAACACAUGCAAGUCGGACGGUAGCACAGAGGAGCUUGCUCCUUGGGUGACGAGUGGCGGACGGGUGAGUAAUGUCUGGGGAUCUGCCCGAUAGAGGGGGAUAACCACUGGAAACGGUGGCUAAUACCGCAUAACGUCGCAAGACCAAAGAGGGGGACCUUCGGGCCUCUCACUAUCGGAUGAACCCAGAUGGGAUUAGCUAGUAGGCGGGGUAAUGGCCCACCUAGGCGACGAUCCCUAGCUGGUCUGAGGGGAUGACCAGCCGCACUGGAACUGAGACACGGUCCAGACCCGGACGGGAGGCAGCAGUGGGGAAUAUUGGACAAUGGGCGCAAGGCUGAUGCAGCUAUGCGGCGUGUGUGAAGAAGGCCUUCGGGUUGUAAAGUACUUUCAGCGGGGAGGAAGGCGGUGAGGUUAAUAACCUUGCCGAUGACGUUACCCGCAGAAGAAGCACCGGCUAACUCCGUGCCAGCCGCCGCAGUAAUAC